rnacentral:misc_RNA from 1 species
AAAGUCGUAACAAGGUCUCCGUUGGUGAACCAGCGGAGGGAUCAUUACCGAGUUUACAACUCCCAAACCCAAUGUGAACAUACCUCAAGUUGCUUCGGCGGGAACGCCCCGGCGCGCCCUCCGACCCCGUCCGCGGGGCCGGGGAGCCUAGCCCGGAACCAGGCGCCCGCCGGAGGUACGCAAACUCUUGUCUUCAGUAUAUUUCUCUGAGUGGCAAACGCAAAAUAAAUCAAAACUUUCAACAACGGAUCUCUUGGCUCUG